rnacentral:siRNA from 1 species
CAAACUGGGCACGUACCGAACAUC